UUGUGAGUUCACCCAAGUCUAGCAAUUAAAAAUGACAUUUUGCUAUACUAUUUAAAAUUUCAGAAAUGAUCAACAGGAAACAUACCAACUAAGACAUUGAUGCUUACCUUCAUGGGAUUGUACUCCAUAUACCCUGUUCUUGUCAUCAUGGAGUAAGGACGAAUAUCAGAAUUAAUCUUGUCGUAGCGAUGGUUCAUAUCUAUACAAUAAAAAAGUUUAAAGCAAGAAUAAGGACACAACAAUUGUUUUUGAAAAAAUAACAAAGAAUCAUAAUCUCAAACCUAUUGCAAUGUGAACCUUCGAAAGCCAAACUAAACAAAACCGAUCAACCAACCCCCCCCUUACCCCAACAAUUACAUAACUUGUGAUCGGUCUUUUAAAAGUAGGUUGGUUACACAUGAAUAUUAUCCAACUGUCCUCCCUAAGUGAAAGAAUUUUUUAGAAGUAUCAAUUUGCACAAUGAGAGUUUUGAAACAAUGAAAACUAAAAAUCCAUCAUACAUAGGAGAAUGAUAAGGAGUGUAAUAAGUCACUNNNNNNNNNNNNNNNNNNNNNNNNNNGAUAAAUUUAUGAAAACAAAAAAUGUUUAUGGUUCAUCUAAAACUGGACUGAUCACAUCAUAAUCAGUAGGCUCAAGUUGCUUAUACAGCCAGUUUUCAGCAACUAACAAAUAGGUCUCGUAUGUAAUGUGACAACAACCAUUAAACUUGAAAAUGAUAUAAUAUACUACCAGGCAUUUUUCGUACAACAUACCUUAGUGAAUAUAAUAUAACAAUUGAAUCUAAAAGAGACAAAUUAGACAUCUAUCUUCCAAAAAGUUCAUUUGUAACAUUUUUUAUUGUAGUUCAAGGGCAAAGGAAAUGCCACGUCCUUGGAAAAAAUUCAUCAUUGCAAUUGUUGAAUGUAUAACUAAGACAUAAUUUUUUUUUUUAAACUCAACAAAAACAUAAAGAUAUAAGAGCCACUUAUAACAAAUUCAUCCUCUGC
rnacentral:lncRNA from 1 species